GAUGAACGCUGGCGGCGUGCCUAAUACAUGCAAGUCGAGCGAACGGACGAGGAGCUUGCUCCUCUGACGUUAGCGGCGGACGGGUGAGUAACACGUGGAUAACCUACCUAUAAGACUGGGAUAACUUCGGGAAACCGGAGCUAAUACCGGAUAAUAUAUUGAACCGCAUGGUUCAAUAGUGAAAGACGGUUUUGCCGUCACUUAUAGAUGGAUCCGCGCCGCAUUAGCUAGUUGGUAAGGUAACGGCUUACCAAGGCAACGAUGCGUAGCCGACCUGAGAGGGUGAUCGGCCACACUGGAACUGAGACACGGUCCAGACUCCUACGGGAGGCAGCAGUAGGGAAUCUUCCGCAAAGGGCGAAAGCCUGACGGAGCAACGCCGCGUGAGUGAUGAAGGUCUUCGGAUCGUAAAACUCUGUUAUUAGGGAAGAACAAAUGUGUAAGUAACUAUGCACGUCUUGACGGUACCUAAUCAGAAAGCCACGGCUAACUACGUG
rnacentral:rRNA from 1 species